rnacentral:rRNA from 1 species
UACGAAGGGGGCUAGCGUUGCUCGGAAUCACUGGGCGUAAAGCGCACGUAGGCGGAUUGCUAAGUCAGGGGUGAAAUCCUGGAGCUCAACUCCAGAACUGCCUUUGAUACUGGCGACCUUGAGUCCGGGAGAGGUGAGUGGAACUGCGAAGUGUAGAGGUGAAAUUCGUAGAUAUUCGCAAGAACACCAGUGGCGAAGGCGGCUCACUGGCCCGGUACUGACGCUGAGGUGCGAAAGCGUGGGGAGCAAACAGGA